rnacentral:tRNA from 1 species
GGGGAUUUGGCUCAGUGGUAGAGCACUUGCCUAGGAAGCGCAAGGUCCUGGGUUCGAUCCCCAGCCCCCA